rnacentral:rRNA from 1 species
CCUACGGGAGGUAGCAGUGGGGAAUAUUGCGCAAUGGGCGAAAGCCUGACGCAGCGACGCCGCGUGAGGGAUGAAGGUCUUCGGAUCGUAAACCUCUGUCAGCAGGGAAGAACGGUCACUGUGCUAAUCAGCAGUGAAUUGACGGUACCUGCAAAGGAAGCACCGGCUAACUCCGUGCCAGCAGCCGCGGUAAUACGGAGGGUGCGAGCGUUAAUCGGAAUUACUGGGCGUAAAGCGCUCGUAGGCGGUAUGUCAAGUCAAGGGUGAAAUCCCCGCGCUCAACGUGGGAACUGCCUUUGAAACUGGCAAACUGGAGUGUGUGAGAGGAUAGUGGAAUUCCAGGUGUAGGAGUGAAAUGCGUAGAUAUCUGGAGGAACAUCAGUGGCGAAGGCGACUAUCUGGCACAUAACUGACGCUGAGGAGCGAAAGCGUGGGUAGCAAACAGGAUUAGAUACCCUGGUAGUC